rnacentral:rRNA from 1 species
GAUGAACGCUGGCGGCGUGCCUAAUACAUGCAAGUCGAGCGAACAGACGAGGAGCUUGCUCCUCUGACGUUAGCGGCGGACGGGUGAGUAACACGUGGAUAACCUACCUAUAAGACUGGGAUAACUUCGGGAAACCGGAGCUAAUACCGGAUAAUAUAUUGAACCGCAUGGUUCAAUAGUGAAAGACGGUUUUGCUGUCACUUAUAGAUGGAUCCGCGCCGCAUUAGCUAGUUGGUAAGGUAACGGCUUACCAAGGCAACGAUGCGUAGCCGACCUGAGAGGGUGAUCAGCCACACUGGAACUGAGACACGGUCCAGACUCCUACGGGAAGCAGCAAUAGGGAAUCUUACGCAAUGGGCGGAAGCCUGACGGGGCAACGCCGCGUGAGUGAUGAAGGUCUUCGGAUCGUAAAACUCUGUUAUUAGGGAAGAACAAAUGUGUAAGUAACUAUGCACGUCUUGACGGUACCUAAUCAGAAAGCCACGGCUAACUACGUG